UUAUUGGCAAUGUCUAGAAAGUUCUGUCUAAGGAGAGGUUUGGUCACCUAAUUGCGCGCCAGUAAGGAGAAAUCCUUAUUGGAAAGCCCCCUCUUUCCUGGGAACGGCCUGGUUGUCAGUACUGUGAUUCUGUAAUAUUAUUUUUAAAAUAAUUAAUUAUUGAUUAUUAUGAUAAAGAAAAUAUUUAUUUUAUGUGGAUAUAGAUGGAGAAAAUUUUUAAUGUGACAAUUGUUGAAAA
rnacentral:lncRNA from 1 species